GCAACCCUACAUAUUCCCGUAUUAUAUCUCUGUUCCACCAUCUCUCUCACACACUCUAAACCUCAUUAUUCGUAAAUCCCACACACUUUGUUUUGAAGUGAAACGAAGAGUAGCUAUCAAAGGAGGAACGUCUCUGCCACCGGAAAAUAAGUCUAAGGAGAUAGUCAUGUUUCCAUUUUCCAAACCUUUUAUCUUCUUUGAUCGAGUUUACCGGGUUUGAUGGUGCGGUGUAUUGGACGUGGUGAUUUGCAUUACUCACUGUGUGGUGACACCGUAAAUUGCUGAGUCAGAUUAUACUUGUCUUGAAACAUCAAGGAGAGAAAUGUGACUCAUACAAUUGUUGACACCGAGUGCUAAUCAGAAUAAAGAACUUGAGCCUCAUAUUGUAGUUUAUUUGGUGGUGAGGCGAGAGAAGUCAAUUUCAAUUUCAUGGGGAAAGCAAUACAAAACUUAGUUGCUGCGGAAAAAUCGUGCUUUUUACCCAUUUCCAGAGGAGCCACCAGAAUUUUGAAUGUAUCCAUACACUCUAAUAGUCUGAUACUGUAUUAACUCGGGAUCUAAGUUUUCUAUUGCAGUAUAAAUGUAAAAUGUCAACAUUUUGUGCAAUCUGUUAAAUGAAUUAGGAAUUGCAUUUUGAUAAUUUGUCUGUCUAUUAUUUUAUAAUGCUUGGUGUCAUUGUAAGGGGUGACCACGGGUCUGAAUCAACCCAUGAACCCAAUCAACCCAAACCAAACUAAUAGCAAGAAAGUGGUUUGGUUUGCUUCUUGGGUUGAUGAAUUUAAAUUCUGAAAUAACUGAUCGAACAUGAUAUACUAUUAUAAAUCUGUUGUUAAUUCCCUUCUCUACUGUCGGAACAUCUGCUGACCACCAACUUAAAGUCGCUAUCCAAUUCCUGCUUUUUUUAACUCAAAGUCCUAAACAAUUAAAAGGGUAAAACCAAAUCUAACCUCUCUCU